rnacentral:rRNA from 1 species
CUGGGCGUUAAGUUGCAGGGUAUAGACCCGAAACCCGGUGAUCUAGCCAUGGGCAGGUUGAAGGUUGGGUAACACUAACUGGAGGACCGAACCGACUAAUGUUGAAAAAUUAGCGGAUGACUUGUGGCUGGGGGUGAAAGGCCAAUCAAACCGGGAGAUAGCUGGUUCUCCCCGAAAGCUAUUUAGGUAGCGCCUCGUGAAUUCAUCUCCGGGGGUAGAGCACUGUUUCGGCAAGGGGGUCAUCCCGACUUACCAACCCGAUGCAAACUGCGAAUACCGGAGAAUGUUAUCACGGGAGACACACGGCGGGUGCUAACGUCCGUCGUGAAGAGGGAAACAACCCAGACCGCCAGCUAAGGUCCCAAAGUCAUGGUUAAGUGGGAAACGAUGUGGGAAGGCCCAGACAGCCAGGAUGUUGGCUUAGAAGCAGCCAUCAUUUAAAGAAAGCGUAAUAGCUCACUGGUCGAGUCGGCCUGCGCGGAAGAUGUAACGGGGCUAAACCAUGCACCGAAGCUGCGGCAGCGACGCUGAUGCGUUGUUGGGUA